rnacentral:rRNA from 1 species
GAAUGACACGGAUAUCAUAGUCUUGUAGGUGCUGUGAUGGUGACGUAAAAUCUCACCAGAGUAACAAUUGGAGGGCAAGUCUGGUGCCAGCAGCCGCGGUAAUUCCAGCUCCAAUAGCGUAUAUUAAACUUGUUGCAGUUAAAAAGCUCGUAGUUGAAUUUCUGCGUUGCCCGACUCGGCUACUUGCCUUGUCUGGUUUCGCUUUUGGGGUUUUCCCCUUUUUACUUUGAGAAAAUUAGAGUGUUUCAAGCAGACUUGUGUCUUGAAUACUUCAGCAUGGAAUAAUAAAGUAGGACUUUGGUUCUAUUUUGUUGGUUUGUGAACCUUAGUAAUGGUUAAUAGGAACGGUUGGGGGCAUUCGUAUUUAACUGUCAGAGGUGAAAUUCUUAGAUUUGUUAAAGACGAACUACUGCGAAAGCAUUUGCCAAGGACGUUUUCAUUAAUCAAGAACGAAAGUUAGGGGAUCGAAGACGAUCAGAUACCGUCGUAGUCCUAACCAUAAACCAUGCCGACUAGGGAUUGGAGGUCGUCAUUUUUCGACUCCUUCAGCACCUUGAGAGAAAUCAAAGUCUGGGUGUUCUCGUGGGGGGAGAAUAC